GCCUCGAUAGCUUAAAUGGUAGAGCAUAGAAUUGAAGCUUCUAGGGAAUUGGUUCGAUUCCAGUUCGAGGCA
rnacentral:tRNA from 1 species